AAACCGGUCCUUUUCAGGACUACAAACUUUGUUAGCAAAAAAGAAG
rfam:Anopheles stephensi strain SDA-500 unplaced genomic scaffold supercont1.166, whole genome shotgun sequence.